rnacentral:rRNA from 1 species
GCCCUUCCUACGGGAGGCAGCAGUAGGGAAUCUUCCGCAAUGGACGCAAGUCUGACGGAGCAACGCCGCGUGAGUGAAGAAGGGUUUCGGCUCGUAAAACUCUGUUGUUAAGGAAGAAUGUCAGUGAGAGUAACUGCUCAUUGAGUGACGGUACUUAACCAGAAAGCCACGGCUAACUACGUGCCAGCAGCCGCGGUAAUACGUAGGUGGCAAGCGUUAUCCGGAAUUAUUGGGCGUAAAGCGCGCGUAGGCGGUUUCUUAAGUCUGAUGUGAAAGCCCCCGGCUCAACCGGGGAGGGUCAUUGGAAACUGGGGGACUUGAGUGCAGAAGAGGAGAGUGGAAUUCCAUGUGUAGCGGUGAAAUGCGCAGAGAUAUGGAGGAACACCAGUGGCGAAGGCGGCUCUCUGGUCUGCAACUGACGCUGAUGUGCGAAAGCGUGGGGAUCAAACAGGAUUAGAUACCCUGGUAGUCCAUGCCGUAAACUUUGGGCGCUAGGUGUGGGGACUUUCCACGGUUUCCGCGCCGUAGCUAACGCAUUAAGCGCCCCGCCUGGGGAGUACGGCCGCAAGGCUAAAACUCAAAGGAAUUGACGGAAGGGC